rfam:Arthrobotrys oligospora ATCC 24927 unplaced genomic scaffold scaffold00007, whole genome shotgun sequence.
GCGUUUGUGGUUUAGUGGUAAAAUCCAUCGUUGCCAUCCUGGGUUCCGAUCCAGUUCAGUGUCGAUGGGCCCCGGGUUCGAUUCCCGGCGGACGCA